CUCAGCCUGAGAAAUAAGAAUGGAUGUUAAAAGGUGCAAGAAACUUCGAAAACUACAGUGGGGAAGGAGAUUUUGAAGUUAACUUUGAAAAGGAAUCGCAGACCAAUGCAAUAGGAGGUACUUCCUGGACAUCCUUUCUGUGAUCUCACAGAGUCCCUUGGCCAUUCUGGUUGCCCAGCAUCUGAAGCUUCUUCCUACGUUUGGGGGAGUUUCUUGGUAAGAGUAGGAGCCUCUUCUCAUGCCAAGUUAAAGUUAAAAAAGUUAAAAAAAAAAAAAAAAAAACGUAAAACAUAGCCAACUAUGCAGACUUCCUUGCAAGCUGGAAUUCAGGCCCAUGACAGGGGCCUCUUGCUCAGACUUUGAGUUUGGAGGUGACGCAAGUUGUAAUUAGCAAGUAACUUCAGGAGGGGAGCCUUCCCAGG
rnacentral:lncRNA from 1 species